rnacentral:rRNA from 1 species
AUUGAACGCUGGCGGAAUGCUUUACACAUGCAAGUCGAACGGCAGCACGGGGGCAACCCUGGUGGCGAGUGGCGAACGGGUGAGUAAUACAUCGGAACGUGCCCAGUCGUGGGGGAUAACGUAGCGAAAGCUACGCUAAUACCGCAUACGAUCUACGGAUGAAAGCGGGGGAUCGCAAGACCUCGCGCGAUUGGAGCGGCCGAUGGCAGAUUAGGUAGUUGGUGAGGUAAAGGCUCACCAAGCCGACGAUCUGUAGCUGGUCUGAGAGGACGACCAGCCACACUGGGACUGAGACACGGCCCAGACUCCUACGGGAGGCAGCAGUGGGGAAUUUUGGACAAUGGGCGCAAGCCUGAUUCAGCCAUUCCGCGUGCAGGAUGAAGGCCCUCGGGUUGUAAACUGCUUUUGUACGGAACGAAACGGCUCUCUCUAAUACAGGGGGCUAAUGACGGUACCGUAAGAAUAAGCACCGGCUAACUACGUGCCAGCCGCCGCCGUAA